UACAGGGGGUGCAAACGUUGCUCGGAAUCAUUGGGCGUAAAGCGCACGUAGGCGGUUCGUUAUGUCGGAUGUGAAAGCCCUUGGCUUAACCGAGGAAGUGCAUCCGAAACUGGCGAGCUAGAGUACUAAAGAGGAUCGCGGAAUUCCCGGUGUAGAGGUGAAAUUCGUAGAUAUCGUAAGGAAGACCAGUGGCGAAGGCGGGUCGCUGGACAGU
rnacentral:rRNA from 1 species